rnacentral:rRNA from 1 species
GAGCUCGUAGGCGGUUUGUCGCGUCUGCUGUGAAAGCCCGGGGCUUACCCCGGGUCUGCAGUGGGUACGGGCAGACUAGAGUGCAGUAGGGGAGACUGGAAUUCCUGGUGUAGCGGUGAAAUGCGCAGAUAUCAGGAGGAACACCGAUGGCGAAGGCAGGUCUCUGGGCUGUUACUGACGCUGAGGAGCGAAAGCAUGGGGAGCGAACAGGAUUAGAUACCCUGGUAGUCCAUGCCGUAAACGUUGGGCACUAGGUGUGGGGGACAUUCCACGUUCUCCGCGCCGUAGCUAACGCAUUAAGUGCCCCGCCUGGGGAGUACGGCCGCAAGGCUAAAACUCAAAGGAAUUGACGGGGGCCCGCACAAGCGGCGGAGCAUGCGGAUUAAUUCGAUGCAACGCGAAGAACCUUACCAAGGCUUGACAUUCACCGGACCGCACUGGAGACAGUGUUUCCCUUCGGGGUCGGUGGACAGGUGGUGCAUGGUUGUCGUCAGCUCGUGUCGUGAGAUGUUGGGUUAAGUCCCGCAACGAGCGCAACCCUCGUUCUAUGUUGCCAGCACGUGAUGGUGGGGACUCAUAGGAGACUGCCGGGGUCAACUCGGAGGAAGGUGGGGAUGACGUCAAAUCAUCAUGCCCCUUAUGUCUUGGGGCUUCACGCAUGCUACAAUGGCCGGUACAAAGGGUUGCGAUACUGUGAGGUGGAGCUAAUCCCAAAAAGCCGGUCUCAGUUCGGAUUGAGGUCUGCAACUCGACCUCAUGAAGUCGGGAGUCGCUAG